AGAGAUGUGUGAUGACGCAUAUCAAUAAGCGGAGGAAAAGAAACUAACAAGGAUUCCCUUAGUAACGGCGAGUGAAGCGGGAAGAGCUCAAAUUUGAAAUCUUCAAGGUUUUACCUUGACGAAUUGUAGUUUAAAGAAGUGUUUUCUGUUGGAGUUUUGGUAAAAGUUCUUUGGAAUAGGACAUCAUAGAGGGUGAGAAUCCCGUAUUUGACCAUUAUUUCCAGCUUUGUGAUACACUUUCAAAGAGUCGGAUUGUUUGGGAAUGCAGUCCAAAAUGGGUGGUAAAUUUCAUCUAAAGCUAAAUAUUGGCGAGAGACCGAUAGCGAACAAGUACCGUGAGGGAAAGAUGAAAAGAACUUUGAAAAGAGAGUUAAACAGUACGUGAAAUUGUCAAAAGGGAAGCGUUUGACACCAGUGUUGUUUUCUCGAAAAUCAAUUAAAAAUGAUGGGAUUUUGUGUUGUAUUGACUUUAUCAGCUUUCUGCACUUUUUUCUUAUCUUUUUUAAUGCACUUUUCGUUUAACAAGUCAACAUCAAUUUCUUUUGUUGUAAAAGAGUCAUUGGAAGGUGGCUUUUUCUUCGGAAAAAGUGUUUAUAGCCUUUGGCUUCUGCAAUCGGAGAGAUUGAGGUCUGCAGCGUAGAUCCUUCGGGGUUAGAUACAUUUGUGCUAAGCUAUAGUUCUUUAUAGACAACUUGUUGACUAUAAUCAAUCCUGUAACUUACUCGCUUAUGCUAUUUUACCUACGCUUAGGAUGUUGAACUACUGAGACAUAGA
rnacentral:rRNA from 1 species